AUGUUUCUUCGCUUGUUCAAAACGCCAAGAAGCCAUGAAAGCCUCAUCAUCCCUGGAACACGGAAUCCAUUCACCCAGUAUUCUGAGAGCGGUUGCUACCGAGUAGUGUACAUGGAGUAUGACAUGCUGGAGCAUAUACUUGAAGGAAAAGAGAAACCAACGAAUCUACCUUUUGCACUUCUGAAGAAAAUCACAGAUGAUUUCUCCCAAGAGCGAGAAAUUGGCCAGGGUGGAUUCGGAACCGUCUAUAAGGGUGUCCUACGAAAUGGAAAUGUUGCUGUGAAGCGGAUCAUGAGCAACUACACAAUCGAUGAGAAGCUAUUUUAUCGUGAGGUUAACAGUCUUUUGAAGGUUAACCAUAAAAAUGUAGUCCGGUUUCUUGGCUUCUGCGCUAAUACUGAGCAGGUAGCGAUAAAAAUUGAAGGUAAAAGAGAAUAUAUUUAUGCUGAAAUAAGAGAAAGAUUGCUCUGUUUCGAGUAUAUCAGCAAUGGAAACCUACAAAAUUAUAUUACUGACGAAUUAAGAGGACUUGAAUGGAAUGUACGUUUUCAGAUCAUCAAAGAUAUUUGUGAGGGUUUGUAUCAUCUGCACAUGGAAAACCAUAUUAUUCAUAUGGAUCUUAAGCCUGCCAAUAUACUGCUAGAUCAUCAUAUGGUCCCAAAAGUGACGGACUUUGGUCUAUCAAGACUUGAUGAGAACUCACAAACCAUGUGUGCGAACCGUUUUUUAUCACUUGGAUAUUGUGCUCCGGAAUAUCUACAUGGUGGCAGGAUGUCUGUCAAAUCAGACAUAUACAGUUUGGGUGUAAUAAUCAUCGAACUGGUAACGGGACAUAAGAGUAUCCUUGAUAAUAAUAAUAGUGUACUCAGAAGAUGGAGGCACAGGUGGAAAAAAUCAGGGAAGGAAACACCAUUAGGUUACCGACAAGUAACUAAAUGCAUCGAAAUAGGGAUGCGCUGCCAGGAAAACGACCCCUACAGGCGACCUUUUAUUGGCGAUAUAUUAUGUGAUUUCAUAGACAUGGAAGGUACAAAUGGGCAAUUCAGCAGUGACAAUGGGUCCACAAUUGAUGAGAUAAGCCCUUACUUGGAGGAUGAUAUGCUUGGAAUUGAGCCGCUCGAACUACAUUUUCCUUUUGACCUGAACAAGCAGAUGUCAUGCUCAAUACAGCUAACCAAUGAGACAGAUGGUUGCAUAGCCUUCAACAUCCAAACAACGUCCCCCUUGCCAUAUUGCGCACAUCCAACCAAAGACAUUGUGCCACCGAGAUCCAAGUGUAGUAUCGACAUAACAUUGCAACUACAGAAGAACGCACCACGACAUGCCGGCGGGUUAAUUGUGCGGAGCACUAAAGUAAGUGAUGGUCUUGCAGCUCGGGAUAUAACUACUGACAUGUUCAAUAAAGAGGCAGGCAACUUGGUUGAUGAGGUGAGUUUGGAUGUUGUUUUUGACGGAGAGCUACAAGCCCCAUGCUCGUCUGAAGUAUGCUUAUCUGAAGUACCAAAGCAUUCAUCACUUGCACCAGUAGCAGUUUUGGGUAUGGAUGAUCCGAGCAAUCCAGAGGCAUCUAAUGUUCCACAGUCAUCUGCACAUGCGGGGUCAGAAGGGACAGACUCUGAGGUAAUCCCUGCAGGCUCCAACAAACUUCUUGACAUCCACCCACCCGAGCUUUGGUUCACGUUUGAACCCAACAAGUUGAUCCCCUGCUCACUGCACCUAACAAACAACACAAAUGAAUAUGUGCCGUUUAAGCUUAUGGAGAAGAGUAGGCUCAUGGACAAAAGGAGGUGCUUUCUAAGUCUACCGCUCUAUGGCAUUGUCCCCCCGAGCUCCAUCUACAUUCUCGUUGUGACAACGGAUAAAAGGGAAAACCUGCCAGAAGAAAGAGAUGUCAAUUUUGUUCUUCAGAGCAGUAUAGGUGAUGAGGGCCUCAAGCCUUUCAGAAACCAAUAUGAUUGUGACGAAUAUUUUGAGAAAGCAGCAGAGUCGGGGCAUAUGGUGCAUGAUGUGACACUGAAAGUUGUUUAUGCACCCAAAAGGGAGACGGCAUGUGAGGCAAUUCCACCUUUACUUAAGAUCACAUUCGUGGAGAAAACCCAUGCAGCAUUGUGUUCCCUCGAUGCAAACCAGACAGAGCCAUGGAUUAUAACAGGUCAUUAUGAUGGACGUGUUGGUUUAUGGGACUAUGACACGCAGAAAUUUCUUGCUUUGGUUAAAGUCUCGGGAUCAUCAGGUUGUCUUGUUAAAUUUAUUGAACGGCGUCAAUGGUUUCUGGCCGGUUCAUAUCACGAAGGAUUUAUCCACGUGUACAGCUAUGAAACGGAAGUGCAGGAAGUCAAUAGUUUCCGUGCUCAUGAUAAAUUUCUUGAAUCGAUGGCCAUUCAUCCUACACAGCCUUAUGUGUUGUCAUCAUGUGAUACACAAAUAAAGCUUUGGGACUGGGACAUGGAUUGGGAGUGCAGAAGAACGUUUAUAGAACACUCCCAUACUGUAAAACAGAUUGCAUUUAACCCAUGGAACACCAACAGUUUUGCUAGUGCUUCAAGAGAUCACACAGUAAAGGUUUGGAGUCUUGAUUCUUCCAGAUCUAUGUGUACUCUUUCUGGGCAUUCGGACGAAGUGAACUGCCUAGAUUUUUUCAUGCGUGAUAAUCAGCAAUAUUUGAUUACGGGCUCUGAGGAUAUGACUGCCAAGAUAUGGGACCUGCAGAAAGAGAUGUGUAUUGAGACACUAAAAGGUUUCAUGUUUCCAGUUGUCUCUAUUGUUUCCCAUCCCAGACUUCCACUUGUAAUUAUAGGUACAAGAAACGGCAUCGUUCAUUUGUGGAGCUUGAGUAAUUUCAGGCUUGAGAGAAUUCUUCACAUUGGUUGUCAUCAAGGUGUCCGUGGUCUCGCCGCUUUGAUGGGGUCAACAAGGGUUAUCAUUGGACAUGGUUCAGCGGUAUCAAUGGUGGAGAUCCAUGAUGAAGAACCUGUUGAUAGCAAGGCCGAAAUGGAAGUCCAAUAUGAGCGGCAAGGACGAUCAUUUGGUAUGACCGACGCAUAUUAA
rnacentral:rRNA from 1 species